rnacentral:lncRNA from 1 species
UAGAAAUAGACAUUUGCUUUAGAAUGAGCUAAAUACUGAAUUUUUAUAUACACAGUAAGAUUUGGUAGCAGUUUAAAUAUUUUCAGAAAACUGAAUCCAAGACUCUUUAUUUAUGUUUACUGCAAUGCAAGGAGAGAGUCUUAAGUCAACUAUUAAUAUAUCUGUGCUAUAUUUUCCUCUAAGGAUUUGGGAACAGAAUUAUGCUGUUCUCAUGAAAACAAUAUUUGUCCAGCCCUUACAGAGGGUUGCAAUGCACUCUAUUACUUUUAAAACAAAAAUAUCACUCAGUUUAGAUUUAAAAUGUAAUGCUUUUCUCUUUUCUUUUCUUUUCCCCCCCUUUUUUUUUUCUUUUUUUUUUUCCUUUAUCUUUCAGCCCAAGAACUUGCCAGUCAAGAUGAAAAACUUCUUCUAAUGGAAUCCAGCUUGAAAGCAACUCAAGAGCAGCUAAGUGAGCAAACAGCAGAAACAGUUCACCAAGAACAGAACAGUAGAAAAUCACAGACAGAGCUGAAAGAAGAUCCUGAGAGAACGUAUUAUAGCUUCUGAUGAAGAAAUUAGUGAUUACAAAUACAUCUCAGUGUGCACUGUAUGGAGACACCAAAGCAGAAAUACUCGCAUAGAUGACAGAAUGUUCAUCUUGUUUGCAGUUGUCUAAACUCUUACAGAAAAAAUCCUGAUUUCUCUUAAAAAAGCAGAAAACUGUGUGGAGAACUUUAAGGUCUGAAAAAUGUGAGUAAUGCCUCCAGAAAAGCUUAAAUGGGAAUCACGCCAAGAAUGUGGGACCAGGAAAGUCAAAUUGUCAGACUGAGACAAAACUUUGUGGAAAUGGAAGAAGAAGUAAAGAACUUAAGACUUACACACAGCAAUGAUGCUCAGAUGGUAAGCGCUGAUUUAUUUGAAAUCCUGUUUGUAUUAUAUUGAGAAAUACUGUACAUGAUUAGUGCAUAUUUCUGUGAACUUUUAACACUUCAGAUGGAUUAGAAUGUCUUAUUUUGAUCAUAUCCAUAUUGUUCAUUGUGAUAAGAUUAGGUCCUGAGUCAUUAAAAAUUGUUUGGCUUAUUUCCAUUACAUCCAAGCAUGUUUUAAGUAGAAAAAUAUAGAAUACGGUUUUCCAUAUUGUGCACACAUAACACAUGUUUGAGAUUAAUCAAACCAUAGUCACCUCUAAUUAACAGCAGGGAACAAUUUCAACAUGGGACAGAGCCAGAUGACAAAGAAGCAAAGCACAUAUUUAAAAGAUGCAGCAUACUAAGAAAAAAAAAUGGAAGGGAGGAUUAUGACUUAAGAAUACUGAAAAGUUUUUAAACCUGUGGUUCUGUGGGUAUGAUUAAUACAAACUAUCAAGUAGGCAAAAGUGUUAUUUUGCUUUGUUUUUUAGCAUAGGCAAAAUUUUCCAGAACCAAACUGUUGCAAAGAUAAGUUGUAAAGGUAAAAAGGUAUUCUGUCUAAGUUAAUAUUCUUGCCCUUUGCCUUUCAAUAAUUACUAAACUAACAAAGGAGAGGACAGACAUUCUGGGAUGCACUUCUUUGGUCAUUUUUGACCACCUUGUGCCAACCAAGCUAAUUUAAGACACAAAAACAUGAGUCUGCCUGGAAAAAAAAAAAAAUCGUAAUUAUUUUUUUUUAGUAUCUAAACCAGAAAAAAAAGAAUCUUAUCAAGGUACCACCUUUCUUUGAGAUGUCAGGAAUCAAAAUUUUUUAACAGAAUGCAUAUCAGAAUUCAAGGUCUCCCCCUUUUCUCCUUUCUCUCUGUAUACACACACACACAUACUCACAUAGAUUUUUUUACAUAUCAUUCUUGGAAAAGAACAUAUUAUUUUCAUUUAAACUUUCCAAGAUAAUUUGGCCUUGAGCAAAAACUCAGCAGGACAAAUUUCAAUAUAAACAAAUGAAGUUUGGCAAAGCUCUAAGCAACUGAAAACUGUGUCUUAUAAUGGAAAAAUUAUGAUAGGCAGCACAACGAUAUACCAAGAUAUUACCAUCCUGCCAACAGAGGAAAAUAAAUCAACCGAAAUUCCUGACAACAUCAUCUUCCUGAAACUGAUGAGAGUAUGCAAAGGCUUUUUGGCUAAUAGAUGUCAAAUGAAACCUUGAAGACAACAAAUAAAAUCCAUAAUGGAAGAAACUUAAACUUAAAACAUAAUGUUUCCUUGAUCAUAAUUUUCAGUGCUGUAUUGUAUGCCAGUCUGUUAAGGAUAACAGUCUGCAAUAGCAUACAAAAAUGCAGGAGAAUUUUUUAAAACAAGGAAAAUAUCCUGUUCUUGUUCUUCCAUUCUUCCAAAAUUUUAAACAGAUCUAUAGGGGAAGGCAUUGUUAUUCAUCAUUAUAGUCAAUAAAACCAUUCUUCUAUGAAAACCAAGAGCUGAUUCUUUCUUUAAUUCUUUGUUUGUUUGUUUUGCAUGAGUUGUUCUGCUUAAGAGGAGGCAAUGGUUCUGUAUGAUUUGGACUUCCCUUUUAUACGGGUAUUUUAGCUGUCAAAGUUCAUAGUAGCAAUAUGUGUUCUUUCUCGAAGUCUAGCAAUCCCUCAGAUUACACAAGGUCCCUUAAGGAAUUUAUAAGUCCUUUAAAGCCUGUAAAAAAUAACAGAAGUUAUUUUCAUAAUUUCUAUGCCUCUGUUCUUACAUCCUGUUUUGUAGAAUAAUUUUAAGUAGAAAUCUCCAUGAGCCUCGCAAUUCAGACAGUCAGUUUGAAGUAGAAAUUUUAUUGCAGCGUAUGUAUUAAGUCCAUCAUUGUCCUUAUGGCUUUCUGAGGAGACUUGAAUGUUCUGUGGAAGAUAUAUUACUAACUACUGUUUUAAUACAAUUUGUCAGAAUGACUUUGGUUUUUUUUCUUUGCAACUAGAAAGCAAAAUCAGUGAGUCUUAUGGCUAAAUAAAAAUAUGGCUAAACAAAACAUAUUACUUUAAUUUUAAUUAAUAAUUAAUUAAUAAUUAAUACUUUAUUACUUUAACCAGAGGUGUCUUCUUGAUCUGAUACACACUGGUUGUUUUUCACUCAUCCUCUUGUUCCAUUGCUUCUAAAAGUUUGUGUAUUCUUUUAUAACUAUUUGAUAGCUGUUUGAACAGGUUAUCUAUUUUCUCACAGACUGGAAAAUUUCCUAGCGAGGCUCAGCCAACCCCAAGCAUGUUUUCUGUUUCAAGUAUUCGUAGGAAGAGUCAGUGGGAAUGCUUUUAGAUGUGAUCAUCACUACUCCAUUAUGGUAGUUUUUUGUAGGUUUUUUUUUUUUUUUUUUUUUUUUUUUUUAAGUAACUAACUUGAAAAGAAAAACUUCCUGCAUUUCUGGAGAGUCUUUGGGAGGGUAAUUACCAGGAAGUUGCCAGUGAAAAAUGAAGAAUAGUUGUUUCCUUGGUACUGAGUUCUUGAUAAUUGCCCAUACAAAUUCCACAAUUAUUCUCUCAUCCCCAUGCACCAAAUGUUUUUAAUUAUACCAGAUUGAUAAGAAUCUGAAUACUCUGAGAAAUGAGAUGAACUUGUAUGAAGACACAUAGGAUGGUAGUCAAAUGAGCUGAAGUUUAAAUAUGAACAACACAAUGCAACACUGAGGCCUGCAUGACUGUAAGAAUGUUAGGAUAGAAAAUUGUCUUUGGUAGCAGCAAAGAUUAAAAAAAUAGUAUCACUUAAAUAAAUACAUGUGAAGAAGCCAAAUUUGUAACAAAAAGGAAACCAGUAAAUGAAUUCACAAAAGCCAGCUACUACAUAGCAAAUCUCUGUAUAAAUGGGCUGAGAGUAUGUACCAAGAAGAAGGCAAGUAUCUAUUCUUUUUCAAUGGGAAAAACAAAAAACAAAAAACAAACAAACAAAAAAGCUAUUUCAUCCUUACUUUGGGAAAAAGGCACACAAAACCAAAGCAAAAAAUGCCUCACUGACUGCAUCUGUCCAUUCUGUACUGUAAUUUGUUUCCCGCUAUGAAGAUUUAGGUUAAAUUCAUUUCUAUUAUUAAAGACAAAUAAGCUGCAAAAGAACUAAUUCUCUGUCUCCAUCUUUUACAUGUAUAUUUAUUCAUAUGAAUGCACUUUUGUUCAUUUAUUUUUACUUCUACCUUGACAAAGCUGUGCAAAAAAUAACAUAGUUUGAUUACUCAUAAUUUGCAUUUGUGUAAUUAAUAGGGAUGAAAAGGAUUAAAAUCAAUGGAGAAAUAUUUAUUUGUUUAAAUUGGAUAACUAUGGAAAAACUAUUUGGCAGGAAUGAAAGCUUUUCCAUCUAAAUUACGUCAUAUAAUUUAAACUGUUUUAGUUUUUAAGCUUAAAAAGCAUGAAAAUCACAAAGCAGAACUGGAAGAAGACACAGAAAAAUACUGCCAUGUAAAGGAAGAGCCUUCAGAACAAGGGUCUCAGCUCAAAAUUAGCUAGCUGGUCCAUUCUGGAGUGGGAAAACUGAUAAAAUGCCGCAGUACUCAGGUAAUACCCUUGAUACAAUAUGUGGAAGGGAGACAGUGUUUGAAGUAAUAUCAGUGAAUGUAUCAGAGUACUCUCAGAGAAUUUUUCCAACGGAUAAGGAAAUAUUAUUUAAAUAAUACUAACUGUAAAAUUCACUCAUGAGUGAUUGAGAAAACAUGAGAAAUAUUGUUGAAAAUAUCAAGUCAAUAUAACAGCAGCAUUUCUUCUUUUAAAAGUGUUGUGGGUGGGAUUCACCUUGUUGAACUGGAGGUAGGAAUAUUUGAAAUAGAUGUCUAAGUUCCAUUGCUGUCAUUGGAGACUUAAUCAACUCAGUGAGUGAAAUCAAGGGCUAUCAAUACCUUUCAUUACCCAAAGUGAACCUACAGAAAAGCUGGAGAGUGACUCUUUAUCAGGUAGCAUUGUCAUAGGACAAGGGAUAGUUGCCUUCAACUAAACUAGAUUAGACAUUAGAAAGAAAUUCUUCACUAUGAGGACAGUGAGAUACUGAAAUAAAUUGUCCAUAGAAACUGUGGAUGCUCCAUCUCUGGGAGCAUUCAAACGUAGGUUGAGUGAAGCCCUUGGCAACUUGAUCUCAUGGAAGGUGACUGUGCUAUGGCAGGGAAUUAGAACUAGAUGAAUUUAAGUUCUCUUCCAAACCAUUUUAUGAUUCUAUGACUAAAUAUUGAUCCAAUCAAUAUUAAGGUUUUCAGAGGAGCUGAAAAUCAAUCCCAGUGACAAUAUUAUUCAUUGUGAUAGAACACAUUCACACACCGUAAUGCAGACAUCCAAAUUUGGGUAAGAAUAAUCAGAUUAGAAAAGUUAGCCUUUUUGCAGCAAUUCAUUAUAUAAUACGGAAUUAUUUUAUUUAUUUUUGUUACUAAUAAGAGUACUAGAUGUUUCACAAGCAUAGAUACUGGUCAAUUAUCUGAGCAAUAUCCAAUAUAUAAAUACACAAAGUUAGAAGGAAAUGAUCAAUGCCAGAGAGAAAUAAAAGUUAAAAUAAUACAUGCUUUUUCUUCUGUGUCUGAGAGAAUGUGAGUAGAUGUGAAAGUUGGAAAACCAAAAGAAUUAGUAGUAUGACAACAUUCCUUUUCUACCCUAGCAUUGUCAAAAGAUAACAAGAUUAAUUCUCUGCUGUAGUAUUUCACUACAGUAGUGUGUUAAUUUGAGGGGCUUGGCUGAGCCUUAUUCAGCAUAUAAUUAGAAUUUACUGAACUUUAAUUUCUUAUCAUCUUUAGGCUGCAUUAUCAAAGUGUUUAUAUUGAAACAUUCAAAUGUUCAGUUAAAAAUAAACUUCAGUUUGUCAAGGAUACAUUGUAUACAAAUUCUGUGGAAAUAUUUGAAUAAAAUUGUUCACUUUUGCUUUGUGAGAAAUGCUUUGCACUUUACAUAUUUAUAACAUAAUGUCAUUAGAGUAUGUAUCUUAGAAAUAUAGCAAUUUCCUGGUGAAUUUAUUGAAUAAAUGCUUAUCUAAUAAGUAAUUUGAGAGUAGAGAAAGAUCUAAUGAAAAGCUAAAUACACAGUGAAAUCCUAAUCAAGCAAUUGAAAUAGUUACUCAUGAUAAAACUAAGAUUAUCAGAGUAUCAGAACACAAAUUACUCCAUUAAUCUUUUGAAUUAGUCAGUUCUUAUUUUCUGAAGCUAAGUAACUUGGGAAGGUACACUCAAGGUUUCAUCUUUCUGAAGACUGUAUUUAUUACCUUUACUUUCAUAAAGAGUUCAUUAGAAAGAAUAUUACAGUGAAAUACGUUAACUUUUUAGCCUGUUUUAAUGAGGUCAUGUGAGUCUUUAAUUAUCUGACAUAAAACUGCUUAGUUUUACGUAGUAUCUACAGAUACUAAUUAGUAUCUACAUAUAUACAUUAGUAUCUACAUCAAUUAGUAUCUACAGAUAUUAACGGAUUCAUAUGUCAUAAAGCCAGAAGAAACGCUGUUAUUGAAUCUUAUAUGUGGCACAAUGCAGGCCACAGGACUUCACUGAAUUGAGUAGUUGUAAGAGAUUAUUCUUUUAUAUGAUUGACUCAAAGUUUGCUGAGGAACAAGUCCAGGCAAGUCCUGGGCAAAGGUACAGAAAUCUUCUGUCUGGAGGACACUGAUGGACAGGUCCUGGCUAAAGGAUUGUGAAGUCCUUUAAGGAGCACAGAUGGACGAGGCCAGGGGCAACGAGAGAGGGAUAAGCUGCUGAUAAUGGCUGAGAAAUGGUCUUUUGUGUGGACUUAUCUAGAAGAAGAUGGCCAUCUCAGGAGCUACGCACAUGACUCUUGCUCAAGCACCCAGGGAUGUCACGUAGGCAGGAAAAAGAGGAGGAUAAAAGAGGGUCUAACAACCAUGAGGAGAGGGUUUCUGCCAUCAGAUCCCUCACCACGACGGACUCAAGGUUUCUGCCAUCAGAUCCUUCACUACGGACCAUAUGCUGAUGGACUUCCCUGGGCCUGCUACCUGAGACCUGCUGCUUCCUCCCAGACUUACUCUGCGGCUUCUUCCUGGACCCACCCGGUACCUGCACCCUCUCGUUGCCCAAGACCGGCCUCGCUGCUCCUGCCCUUCAGCCUCGGACCAUCAGAACAUCGUGCAACAGGACUACUGCUGGUGGUGACUAUCCCCGCUUUAUGCAAUUCUUGCUUCUUUCUAUCUUUUCUAUCGCUCGCCUUCCCUUUCCCAUCACCCCAAUCCAUAAUAGUGUCCGUCCUCCCCUUUCUUCAUCUCCCUUAUUAACAUAUGUAAUAAACUGGUCGGACCAACAUUUGAACCGUUGUUUCUUAAUCUCACGCCGGGCAUACAUAUUUCAAAGAACCUCCUCUCCCUCCUAUAAAUUGGAGUGAGACAGUAGUACAUUAUGUCUAAGUAAAUGUGAUUAAAAUGGAGUAUAUUAAAAUGGAGCAUACAUUUUUUAUACAUUCUUGACUUUAAAUAUACACAAUGUUAGAGAAUUCAUUACGGUCUUUCACAGGUUGCCUCAAUAGUUAGUAAAACAUAUAGCAUGCUGACUGUUCAUCAUUUUAGCAUCUUUCUUGGAAUGUUAUACAAAUCUCAACAUAUAUAAAAAUAGUUUUUAUGUCAUCUUUAUCAAUAACAUUUGAAAUAUCAUAAAACUGAAAGAGCAGAUAGUUUUACAAGAUGUGUUUACAGUAAAUCCACAGUAACUUUGGUUAUUAUAUUAAUGCACAUUUGUUAUAUGUAUCUACAGCUAACACAAAUUACUGUGGAAUUAUGAUAUUAGCUGUCCUGAUAUUUUGCUUGAAAGAGAUAAGUAACUACCCUCCUUGAAUUACUUGAAUCACCCUCUUAAAACCUAAGAAAUAUUAGCACAGAAUUAACAGAUAAAUUAAUCUGUACUGUUUUGGAAGUUUUUAAGGUUGUCAAGACCAAACACUGUAAAUAUGGCCUAGAAAUUCUUUUCAAAAGCACUUCAAAAGCACUUAGAUAUGUUUUACGUAGACAAUUUGAAAUAUAUUUAUACUUAUGUGAUUGCAGUCACUUUUAUCCUAAGACUAAAAUACCAUACAUUCUUCAGUUAUAAUAGAAUAUUUCACAUGAAGGGUUCUACAGAGAUCAUCAAGUCCAACUGCCUGACAACUUCAGAGGUAACCACAAGUUAAGCGUAUUACUGAGGGCAUUAUCCAAAUGCAUCUCAAGUAAUAUUAGGCAUGGGACAUCAGUCAUCUCAUUGCAGUGAGAUAAAAGCCUGUUCCACUGUUUGAUGAUAAAUAAAUGUCCAGUAUAGUCUGAAACUCCCCUGGCACAGCACAGCUGUGUGCCACUCCUGUGCAACCUGCAAUCAGCACAGAAGAUACCAGGGAGCAGAGACCAGCACCUCCCUCUGUACUUCCUCUCCUCAAGGAGCUGCAGAGAGCAGUAAAGUCAUCUUGUAGACUCCUAUUCUCCAGGCUAGACAGUCCAAGAGUCCUCACCCUUUCCUUACUAGACAUGUCUUCCAUUCUGAUUACCUGCUUUGUUGCCAUUGUCUGGACACUUUUAGAUAUCUUAAUAAUGUUUUUAUGUUGUGGGGCAUACAUUAUUCAAGGUGAGGUUGCACCAACUCCAAAUAUAUCAGGACAAUCACCCCAAAAAGCAGUUUGCCCUUUUGGCAACCAACACUGCUGGUUCAUACUGAGCCUGCUAUCAUCAGCCCUCCUAGAUCAAUUUGUUCUGAGCUGCUCUCCAGCCAUUCAUCUCUCAGUUUGUGUCAUCUCUCAGGUACUGUGCCAGGCAUAGUACCUGACAUUUACCUUUGUUGAACUUCACGCCACUGUUUCCCCAGUGCUCCAAUCCAUCCACAUUGCUCUACAAGACCUCAGCAACACAACUGACCAUCUACUAGCCAAAUGGGUCUCCAUCACUACAACACUUUGAGUUCUACCAUUGAGCCAGUUUAUCACCCUGCAUAGUGUGAACAUACUUAUCUCACAGUUGGACAAUUUGUACAGAAAGUUGCCAUGAAGGAUCAUAUCAAAGGCUUUACUGAAUUCUAGAAAGAUGACGUACGCUGCCUUCCUUCAUCCACCAAGUGGGUAAUCUUAUAAAAAGAAAUCAAAGCAAUGAAGACAGGGCUUUCCCUUCAUGAACCCAUAUUGACUAUGCCUGACAAUGGCUUUGUCCUUCAAGUGCCUUUCAGUAACACUCACUAUAAUCUUCUCCAUAAAUUUUUAGGGUACUGAAGUUAGGUUAACAAGUCUGUUACAGAUUUGUUACUUUUGUUACUUUGUUUUCAGUAAGUUCUUUCUCUUUAUUUUUUGUUUGUUUGUUUAUUUUACUUUGUUUUGGGAAGAGGAGAGCUUGUGGUGGGGAGUGGGGUUUUGUCAUCUACGUAGUGCUAUUGAAGAUAAUACUACUUUUUUAUAUUUAAACAUUUGAUCCUCAGAAAGUUUCAUCCUAUUCUUUCAUGUUUACGAGAUUUUUCUCUCUUCAAACACUUUUUUUCUUUGUAUGAACAUUUGCAAAUGAGUGUGUACAUGCAUAUCAAUGACCAUGAGUACAUGGGGCUUAUCUGUUCCUCAAAAAUAUGACUUGGUCAAAAUUACUUUUGCAUAAAGAACAACUGAAUUUCAGCAACGUAAUCCUUUCCUACUCAUAAGUCUUAAAUUAAUGUGCAAAAUUGAAUUAAUCAGCAUAUUUAAUUACAAUUUUUUUGUUAAACUUAUUUAUCUGUGAAGGUGUUAUGUAUAAUUUUUGAAAGUUAAUGGAUACAUUAUUAAGCAAAGAGUAACAGCUCCAACAAACCAGAAUUAUUUAAGUCUCUGAGGAAAACUAAGAUUUCCCUUCUGAUUCAUCUUUAAAAUCCUGUUUUCAACAUCUUUGCAAAGUUAAUUUUAGUUUUUUAAAAGCCAGGUAACUUAAAAUAAUUUUUCUGCCCUUCAUUCCUCUUUUGUUUAUCGUGUUUUUCAGAAUGUUGUUCCAUUAGUGACUUUGAAGUCAGUGAUGUUAGAUCAAAUUAUUCAAAUUACUAGCUUUUGUUGUUGCUGGUGCUGUUUUGUGGGUUUUUUUUCUUUUGUUUUGUUUUGUUUUGAUUUUCCUCUUAUGAAUGUAAUUUACUGGUGUAGUGGUUAUUAGAACAGAACUUCACAGUGUUUGUGUUUUGUCUUAAUUAUAAGUAAUUUUAUAUCACUAAUAUUAUCAGUAAACUUGUUUGUGUAUAUUUUACUCAAUGAAAUGUUAAUGCCAAACUUUGAACAGAAACUGUACUGACUACUUCUAUCUUAAAACAGACAGUACCAGUAGCUGAUUGUUUUACUUUUGUUUCCUUUCAUCAAACAACUCUAUUCAGAAGGUGAAAAUUUCCUUUUCUUCUUUUUGAUGGAAUUUCUUUUCAUUUCUCCCCUUUCUUUUCAUAGUUUUACAAACGGUCAGUUACACAGUUUAUUACAAAAUAUGUUGAGGCACAUGCCUAGAAGGUGUGUUGAAUGGCAUACUCCAUCUACUUGUGGCAUCUAUGCAUAUUAAGUUGUUAAAAGCAUGUUUGUCAAACUUAUAUGACAGUUUUAGCAAUUGUAAAAACGCAUAUUUGCUAUGCUAUGCUAGAAGAAGAGGAAGAAAAAGAAGAAGAGAAGUGAAAAAAGAGAGGAGAGGAGAGGAGAGGAGAGGAGAGGAGAGGAGAGGAGAGGAGAG